rfam:Ancylostoma duodenale strain Zhejiang A_duodenale-1.0_Cont2486.2, whole genome shotgun sequence.
GUUGCAUGGCUGGUGACGAUACUUGUCUUAGGAAGUGCCGUCUUAAAAUCAAUGCUUAGAAUUAGGACGCUGAAGCCG